GUUGAUCUUGUUACCGCUUUGUGCACACCUUUUACGCAUGCAUAUUAAUACUUCUAUUUUACAAGUUGUUGGAGGUAUGUCAACCUAUAUUAGAAACCGCGUUAAAGUUUAGUAUAAUCUUUGGAGCCUGCCUUGAAGAAACCAACUUCCAACCCUAUGACCACAAAACAUAUGGUGGAAAGGGAGCUUGAAUCAUUAUCACACGUGGACCAUCUUGGACAACAGGUAUAAACUAAUAAACCUAUGUAGUUUUAUGUUUUCUUUUUUAAAUCUUUGUUUAGUUUUAUGUUAGUUUUUUUCUUCUUUGUUUCAUAUAAUUAUCUUUUUUUUUUACAUUUGAUUAUAUAUGGGCGUGAGCGGUGAGAUCCUUUUUGCUGGAUUAUAUGCGAGUUGAUCCUGUUACCAUUAAGUUGUGGCUGGGAUAUUCAACUUUGACUAGGUUGCGUUUCUCCCGACCCUACUAUUACAACUUACUUGGCAGAAAAAGGAUCUUAAAUCAUUGAUACACAUGGACCAUAUUGGAAGACAUGGGCAAACUCAUAAACCUAUAACUACAUCACCAAUGCAAGGGUUCUAAUCUAGUUAUGGGAUAAAGAAAACGUGGCGCACUUCUAUCAUAUGGCCUUCACUUCUAUCCUCAAUUGUGGCGCAUAUACAGACGGGCUAAACUUCAAAUACAAUUCUACUCCAAUGCUAAUUUUUGUUUGUACAUGCCAUGUCACCCACCGCUAAGUUAUCGGUGCAAUGGGUUUGAUCUAAAGUUUUAUUUUCUCGUUUUACAUCUUGGUUUAGUUUUAUGUUUAAUAUUUUUCAUCUUUAAUAUAUAAAGGGGAAUGCCUCUGCAUUGCCAUGGGUAGUGAUGCGGCGGCAGAAACAAUGUGCAUCAAUCCUUUUAUGAUAUAUACGAAAAAAAAUCUCUUUUGUUAAGUGAUGUCAAAUAUGAUAACCAACAUGAUGAACAAAGUUUAACUCAAAAUGCUUCUAUUAUGCGUCAUGCCAUCAUGCACCUACAAAUGUUAGUUACUUAAGGCUGCUCAUUUAAUAUACAUGUAUGGUGUAUGCUUUUAGGAAAUGUUAGGUACUCAUUUAAGUCUGCUAAUAUACAUUGUAUGGUGUA